CUUUGCUCCCGCUCCGUUCCGUUCCGUCCUGUCCCGUCCCGUCCCGUCCCAUUCCGUUCCGUCCCGUCCGGUCUGCAUACCAAACGAUACCUUAAGGAACAGUUGCCCGGCUUGCCCACACGUCCAUCAUCACUGGACCUGCUUUCGGCUUCAUCAGUGCUUUUCGCCUUUCUCUCUCACCAUUCUCAGUUUUUGCUAUUAUGAACCCUGGCUUUCUUUGUCUCGAAAACGGCGGUUUGCCUCGCUCAUCAACCUUGCCGUCUCUUUCACAAAUUAUCAACAACGAUGGUCUCUUGCCGGAAAAAGCACUCUGUAGCUAGAACUUUUUUCGAUUUUUCAUUCGAAUCGAUUCAAUUUUUUACCCAAAAAAGUUAGCGUUUACUGGCUCGGAUCCUUCCUCAUCUUCUUCAUCCAAACCAGUAGCCCCACCUUCGAUUAUUACCGACGGAAACAUGACAUAUUAAGGCGCAACAACAAUACUGUAACACUUAUAAGAAAGAGCUCCAAACCUGCGAAGAUUCGUUCGAACACCUGCAGGAAGAAAUAAUAAGGCCGUUGAAGCGUAGAACGUAGGUUUACUUUGAUGCCAAGGUUAUGAAAAAAGAGUGGUUUGUACAUUAGCUAAGUACAUAUAAGUAUAUAUCUCUGUGUAUGUGUUUGUGUCAUUUGUUUUGAUUGCGAUUCUUGGUUUUGUGAUUAGGAUUUUUGGAAGGAGGCUUCGAUUCAAUUAUUGGAACAGAUAAUAUUUAUCGAAAAAUUCAAUGGGUCAGUAGAAGCUGGCUGCUUGCAAAGACAAGAACAUCAAUAUAUAUGCAUUGGAAUUUGUUGCGCUAGGAUAUGAAGAAGUGGAAAGGUACCUGGUGGAAUGUGAGUUUUGCUGCUUAAGACAAAGAGUGUUGUUUGGAAGCAUAACUAUGUCUGCAAGAGAUUGACUGAGGAUCCGGAUUGCAUCAUGUUCUGAAUGAGCUUGAAAGAGGAGUUGCUCUUCAUCUGACAAUUGCAUCGCAUAAUAGGUUUUGUUAAUCUACCCAUGGUGGAACCCAGCUGUUGAGAGGCAACCAUAAGAUAGAAUCCACCGGAUAGGGCAGUACAAACCGAUCAGGACAAGGUGUGGAUUAGAUAGCAGGAUCUGGUUGGAAGACAAGAUUUUGUGAAAGAAAGGGUAAGAAAAUGCUGAUGAAUUUUCGUUGUUGAUCUGUGCAUGUAAGAGCUCUUACUGAUUGUUUUGUUUUCUUUUGGCCAUGUAAAAGCUCUGUACAUAGAGUUCACAAUACAUGCAUAGUUUUUCAUUGUUCUAAAAUUCUAAGUUCCUAUAAAUCUUUUCCUGCAUUUAUGAAUUCUAAAUAAAUGCAAAUCAUAAAAAUAAUCAGAGUGGAUAAAAUUAUUGGCUUAUGUGCACUAAUGAAAUAUGGCAGCCUUUCAACUCCCACCCAAGGGUUUUUUAAAGAAUGAUGUAAUUAAAGCAAUUACAUGCUCUGUUAUGUUUUAUAUAUAGUUGUGGUAGUUGUAAGGGAAUGAAAUAUUUAUGCAGAUAAUUGGUAGUUUAAAUAUAUAAAAAUGGAGAAUAAUUAUAAAUGGAACACCUAGGAUAUAUAACAUUGUUUUGUUUUGCAUGUUUUCUCAUGUUAGCACAGCUUUUGUUUAUGCAUUUUAUUCAAGUGCUAUUUUUUAUUAGUGUUAAUUUCGGGUUUUACAUCUAAAAAUUUAGUUUUUUUUGUUGCCAUUGUACAUCUAACAAUUAAUUAUUCGUUUGGAAUUUGGUUGUUUGUUAAUUUUUCAUUACUACCUAUUCUAUCAACUUCAUCUAAACUGUUUUGCAUG